UGCCUCUAAAAAAUAUUGGACAUGGGAGUGAACUGGACCUUGAGGAACUUGCCAUACAAUUCAGCCCGGGCAUAGUUUUACCCCAGAGAAUCCAGAUGACAUGAAAUUAAUGUCCUUCAGAAGAAGAGUCAAGGAAAGCAACCUUAAUGGACGCAAUUGGAAGAUGGGCAUGCCAAGAGAAACCUUUCCCAGGAAGACCCAGGUCAAAGACAGUGGUCUUGAUUCAUUGUGGACUUUAAAAUAUAGCAGUGUCAAGCCUUUUUC